rnacentral:pre_miRNA from 1 species
GCUCGUGACCCUCUGAAGGGAACUUUGGCCUGAGAAGAGCGUGGGAUUGUAGGAACAUGAGUGGAUCUACAGCAUUUGAGAUUAUUCAUUUGCAUCCGCUACGAUAUGAUGCAGAUUCUUCACCUGUGUGAUACUCUUGAGGUAUAACAGACGAAGGUCUGCAUCAUAGCCAAGCGAACGUAAAUCUGGUGCAUUCAACACUAGAUGCUUAAUUGAGGUGCAU